UCAGUAAUUCCUUAUUGUUUAUUCUCCUCUUACAAAAAGACACUUGGGACAAAUAAAUACAAAAUGGCAUAUAUCAUAUUUAGCAAUGGGCAAAUACACAUUUUCUUGGUAUUCUCCACAAGAAUAAACUAAUAAAAUUUUCAGAGGCAUACUCUUCUACCCAUCUCUUACCCUCUAAAAAAAAAAAAGGCAAUUAUUUUAAUUCCCUGUAAUUUUUAACAAUGAAUUCUCAAAAUAAGUAAUCUAGGACUAUUCAGGGACCAAGACAUCUGAAUCAACAAGUUAAAAAAAAAAUGUCUGUAUACACACACACACACACACACACACACACACACACACGAUGUUGCCCAGAAGCUCCAAUUAAUGAAGAGUCUUAAAAGUUUUUCAUUUCAUAUAGUUUGCAUGAAUAGAGCCUGUUCUAUUCUAAUCUCAAUGGCAAAUAAUAUAAAACAGAAAGCUGAACACAACAUGUGUGUGUGUGUGUGUGUGUGUGUCUACUUUUCUGUCCUAAGAGAAAACAUUAAAUACAGGUAUAUUUAAUAUACAGUGAACAUACCAUGUGUUUUCUUAAAGCCAACAAAAUCCUGAUUUCCUAUAGCUUGGAGGUGAUACAGAAGGCAGAAGACAAAUAUCAAAUUUAGCUAAUAAAAUAUACCCUGCCUAUUGGCUCCAGCAAUACACUAUAGAGUUUGAGCAAUGACGGAUACCCAAGUGUAUAUGUUUUGUUAAAAUUUAUCUUCAGGCUAAUACCUGAAGAGGUUGGCUAAUACUUUAAAUCAAAUAUUCUUACUUAAUGAUUUAUCCAUCAAAUGGAAAUAUGUACAACAUAUUUCAAAUCAGAAAAGGGGUGAAUUUUCCCCCUGCCCUUCAAAAAAAUAUUUUUAAAAAUCCACUUGAAAUAAUUUCUUAUUUGAUGCUUUUUAAUCACUUUCCACUUUAUGACAACCAUUUUUCUAGAAAGGCAGACAAGAAUAUAAAAUGACUAAGGGGUCACUAUGAAAACAAUCAAAUGGAUUUGAAAUUUACUUCUGUGUAUUUUCUGUACUCCCUAAGUCUUGUGCUAACAUCACUACUGCUGAGGUCCCACUUU
rnacentral:lncRNA from 1 species